ACAGGCCGACAUGGUAGAAAACACCCCCGUAAGAACAGGCCGACAUGGUAGAAUACACCCCCGUAAGAACAGGCUGACAUGGUAGAAAACACCCCCGUAAGAACAGGUCGACAUGGUAGAAAACACCCCCGUAAGAACAGGCUGACAUGGUAGAAAACACCCCCGUAAGAACAGGUCGACAUGGUAGAAAACACCCCCGUAAGAACAGGCUGACAUGGUAGAAAACACCCCCGUAAGAACAGGUCGACAUUGUAGAAAACACCCCCGUAAGAACAGGUCGACAUGGUAGAAAACACCCCCGUAAGAACAGGCCGACAUGGUAGAAAACACCCCCGUAAGAACAGGCUGACAUGGUAG
ensembl:lncRNA